ensembl:lncRNA
CGGAAAUAUAAAAAAUCUGGUCUAACAGUUCACAGAUUAAUGUUUAAUCAGCAUCAGAUUGAGUAUCAAAAUGCUCUCAAAGCUGCAAAAGGGGCAUAUUAUUUUACUAUUAUUAGUAGCAACAUCUCUUCUCCCCGUGUUCUGUUUAGAACGGUCAAUAAUUUAAUCAAACCUCCUAGUGACUUUAACUGUUCCACCAUUGAGCAGUUUAAUGCAUUUCUCAAUUAUUUUUCAACUAAAAUUGAGAAUAUCCAUAACUCUAUUGCUUGUGAGGUUGCUCCUGAGCUUGUUGGGUUGCAUCCUGCUAAUCUCUCUGGUCUUGUUUUUUUCAAGUUUCAGUGCUGUUGACUCUGAUUUUAUUUCUAAACUUGUCUUGUCUAUGAACUCUACUACUUGCAUACUUGAUCCACUCCCUACGACUGUUUUAAAAAAUUGUCUGCCUGUCAUUUUACCCCACAUCACUACCAUUGUAAAUGCCUCACUCAUUACAGGAAAUGUCUCUUCUGCUCUAAAAAUGGCUGCAGUUACGCCAGUUCUUAAAAAAGCUGGUAGCGAUAUCACUGACAUGUCAAAUUAUCGACCCAUUUCUAACUUACCUUUCCUGGCAAAAGUGCUUGAGCGUGUGGUUGUUGGGCAACUCCAUACUCAUCUCUGUACGUAUAGCCUAUUAGAAAGAUUUCAAUCCGGGUUUAGAUCUGGACACAGUACAGAGACUGCUUUGGUCAGGGUUCUGAAUGACCUCCUCGUUAUAGCUGACUCUGGGGCUUGUGGCGUUUUGGUCAUGUUAGACCUUACUGCUGCAUUCGAUACCAUAUGUCAUAGUAUAUUAUUUGACAGAUUGCAUAAGUGGAUUGGUCUGUCUGGAACGGUGUUAAACUGGUUUGACACCCAGAUUUAUAUUAGUUCUCAGCCUGAUCUUAAUUUUUCCUCUUCAAACCUGUCUGACUGUUUGAUGGAAAUUAAAGGGUGGAUGAAACUCAACUUUCUUAAACUAAACUGCUCCAAAACUGAAGUCUUAUUAAUUGGCACUCCUUUGAAUGUCAGUAAAUGUAAAGAUUUUAGAAUCUCAGUAGACAACACCCAAUUGUCCCCUUCUGGUCAGGUUCGUAAUUUGGGGGUUAUUUUCGAUGCCCAGCUAACAUUUAACUCUCAUUUUAAUAACAUAACGAAGGUUGCUUUUUUCCAUCUGAGAAACAUUGCGCGCAUCAGACCGUUUCUCUCUAGGCCUGAUGCAGAGAAGCUUAUCCAUGCUUUCAUCACGUCAAGGCUUGAUUAUUGUAACUCUCUCUUUGCGGGUUUACCUGCAAACUCUAUUAAGAGGUUGCAAUAUAUACAGAACUCUGCCGCACGUGUUUUGACUCACACCUCAUCACGCCAUCACAUUACACCGGUGCUCCAGCAACUGCACUGGCUUCCAGUUCAGUCACGUAUUGAUUUUAAAGUUUUGAUUUUGGCUUAUAAAGCAGUACAUGGGCUGGCUCCAGAUUACAUCUGUGAUUUGGUUACUCCAUCUAUUCCUGCUCGCUCUCUCCGCUCUGCUGGCUCUCUCUCUCUGUGUCAGCCUCGUUGUAAAUUAAAAACUAUGGGGGGAAGGGCCUUUUCCUGUAAUGUGCCUAAGUUAUGGAAUACAUUACCUGCGUCUAUCAGGGAUGCUGCUUCUGUGGAUUGUUUUAAGAAACUUCUUAAGACACAUCUUUUUUCUCAAGAUUUUAAUUUAUACAUUGUGUAUCUUUUGAUACUGCAGUGUUUGUUUGAUUGUUUGACUAUUUUGUAUGUAUGUUGUUGCGCUUUGAGCAUGUUAAAGGCGCAUUAUAAAUAAGAUUUAUUAUUAUUAUUAUUAUUAUUAUUAUUAUUAUUAUUAUUAUUAUUAUAUCUAAUGCGCCCAUGCGCUGAAGGCGCUAUUGAUAUUAUAAUAGACACCGUGAAGCUCGCGGCAUGUAAAAAAUAAAUAAAGGCGUAAAUGCCCA